GACGAACGCUGGCGGCGUGCUUAACACAUGCAAGUCGAACGGUAAGGCUCCAGCUUGCUGGGGUACACGAGUGGCGAACGGGUGAGUAACACGUGGGUGACCUGCCCUGCACUUCGGGAUAAGCCUGGGAAACUGGGUCUAAUACCGGAUAGGACCAUGGUGUGGAUACUGUGGUGGAAAGUUUUUUCGGUGUGGGAUGGGCCCGCGGCCUAUCAGCUUGUUGGUGGGGUAAUGGCCUACCAAGGCGGCGACGGGUAGCCGGCCUGAGAGGGUGGACGGCCACAUUGGGCCUGAGACACGGCCCAGACUCCUACGGGAGGCAGCAGUGGGGAAUAUUGCACAAUGGGCGGAAGCCUGAUGCAGCGACGCCGCGUGGGGGAUGACGGCCUUCGGGUUGUAAACUCCUUUCACCAUCGACGAAGGGUUUCUGACGGUAGAUGGAGAAGAAGCACCGGCUAACUACGUG
rnacentral:rRNA from 1 species